UACGUAGGGUGCAAGCGUUUUCCGGAAACAAUGGGGGGAAAGGGUGCGUAGGCGGGAGUCUAAGUCGGAGGUGAAAUCUUGCCGCUUAACGGUAAAAGGGGCUUCGAUACUGGAUUUCUUGAGUUCGGAAGAGGUUGGUGGAAUUCGUGGUGUAGCGGUGAAAUGCAUAGAUAUCACGAAGAACACCGGUGGCGAAGGCGGCCAACUGGUCCGACACUGACGCUGAGGCACGAAAGCGUGGGGAGCGAACAGG
rnacentral:misc_RNA from 1 species